CGGCGUCUGAAGAAGUGCCGGAAACUAAAACGGGAUCUUCCGAGCGCGUGUCGCAACUGCCGCAAUCCGCCGCGUCGAGAACGCCGCAGGGGCUGUAAGCUUCAGGCGGCAGCGGCGGCGCCGCCAGAAGCUUUCUGGAAUAUCCAUGGCGUCACCAACGGCAGUUAUCACGGCAGCCGCUGCUAUCACCGACGGCGGGAAUCCCAAGAAGUCUGUCACUGCAAUACACAAAAAAAAAAUCAAUAUAAUUUAUCGGAAAAGCGAACGGGUCGUUGAUCGGGUUACGGGUCUACCUACCACGGGCGGUGUUGAGAACGAAAUCCGGGAAGGUGCGAAUAAUAUCUUCAAACCGGCGGCGAGGAUCCGGCGGCCGGGAAAUACGGAGCUCGGAGACAAAGUAAUCAAGGUAGUCAAAAGGAGUAACAGAGUGAAGGCGCCAAUUGAGAGCGUGCAUGACUCGGAGCUCCAUUUUCUGGAUGGUUUUCGGCUCGAAAACGUAUUUCGGGUCAAACAGCUGCAACUCCAUCAGCACCGGCGCGUUUGGCUCCUCCAUCUUCGCCGCCAGAGACAAACACGCCACCGACAACAGCUGCAGCGGCCACCCGCCGACCUGCACGCCAUCAAAAUACCAAACCCCAAACAUGUUCAGAAGUCAGAACACUAUGUAUACAUAUACAUUAUGCAAAGAUGAAAAAGUUGUUAUUCAACCAGACUAUGUCUAAUAUAAACUUUAUACAUAAUUAGUUUCUGAGUCAAGUAUGAGAUUCUGAGUCAAGUAUGAGACGGUUUAAGAGACAACAUCAGUGAGAUAUCAACUA